GGGUGAGUGUCCGAGCGGUCGAAGGAGCGCGCCUCGAAAGCGUGUAAGGGUUAAACCUUCGCGGGUUCAAAUCCCGCCUCAUCCG
rnacentral:tRNA from 1 species